UACACUGUCCCUCGACACGGUGUCCUGC
rnacentral:sRNA from 1 species